rnacentral:rRNA from 1 species
AACGAACGCUGGCGGCAUGCCUAACACAUGCAAGUCGAACGAGACCUUCGGGUCUAGUGGCGCACGGGUGCGUAACGCGUGGGAACCUGCCCUUAGGUUCGGAAUAACUCCCCGAAAGGGGUGCUAAUACCGGAUAAUGUCUUCGGACCAAAGACUUAUCGCCUUUGGAUGGGCCCGCGUUGGAUUAGCUAGUUGGUAGGGUAAAAGCCUACCAAGGCGACGAUCCAUAGCUGGUCUGAGAGGAUGAUCAGCCACACUGGGACUGAGACACGGCCCAGACUCCUACGGGAGGCAGCAGUGGGGAAUAUUGGACAAUGGGCGAAAGCCUGAUCCAGCAAUGCCGCGUGAGUGAUGAAGGCCUUAGGGUUGUAAAGCUCUUUCACCCGGGAUGAUAAUGACAGUACCGGGAGAAUAAGCUCCGGCUAACUCCGUG